AUUGAACGCUGGCGGCAGGCCUAACACAUGCAAGUCGAGCGGAUGAAGGGAGCUUGCUCCUGGAUUCAGCGGCGGACGGGUGAGUAAUGCCUAGGAAUCUGCCUGGUAGUGGGGGAUAACGUCCGGAAACGGGCGCUAAUACCGCAUACGUCCUGAGGGAGAAAGUGGGGGAUCUUCGGACCUCACGCUAUCAGAUGAGCCUAGGUCGGAUUAGCUAGUUGGUGGGGUAAAGGCCUACCAAGGCGACGAUCCGUAACUGGUCUGAGAGGAUGAUCAGUCACACUGGAACUGAGACACGGUCCAGACUCCUACGGGAGGCAGCAGUGGGGAAUAUUGGACAAUGGGCGAAAGCCUGAUCCAGCCAUGCCGCGUGUGUGAAGAAGGUCUUCGGAUUGUAAAGCACUUUAAGUUGGGAGGAAGGGCAGUAAGUUAAUACCUUGCUGUUUGGACGUUACCAACAGAAUAAGCACGGCUAACUUCGUG
rnacentral:rRNA from 1 species